GACGAACGCUGGCGGCGUGCUUAACACAUGCAAGUCGAACGGAAAGGCCCUGCUUUUGUGGGGUGCUCGAGUGGCGAACGGGUGAGUAACACGUGAGUAACCUGCCCUUGACUUUGGGAUAACUUCAGGAAACUGGGGCUAAUAUCGGAUAGGAGCUCCUGCUGCAUGGUGGGGGUUGGAAAGUUUCGGCGGUUGGGGAUGGACUCGCGGCUUAUCAGCUUGUUGGUGGGGUAGUGGCUUACCAAGGCUUUGACGGGUAGCCGGCCUGAGAGGGUGACCGGCCACAUUGGGACUGAGAUACGGCCCAGACUCCUACGGGAGGCGGCAGUGGGGAAUAUUGCACAAUGGGCGGAAGCCUGAUGCAGCAACGCCGCGUGCGGGAUGACGGCCUUCGGGUUGUAAACCGCUUUCGCCUGUGACGAAGCGUGAGUGACGGUAAUGGGUAAAGAAGCACCGGCUAACUACGUG
rnacentral:rRNA from 1 species